UACGUAGGGUGCAAGCGUUGUCCGGAUUUAUUGGGCGUAAAGAGCUCGUAGGCGGUCUGUCGCGUCGGAUGUGAAAACCCAGGGCUCAACCCUGGGCCUGCAUUCGAUACGGGCAGACUAGAGUAUGGCAGGGGAGACUGGAAUUCCUGGUGUAGCGGUGAAAUGCGCAGAUAUCAGGAGGAACACCGGUGGCGAAGGCGGGUCUCUGGGCCAAAACUGACGCUGAGGAGCGAAAGCGUGGGGAGCGAACAGG
rnacentral:rRNA from 1 species